rnacentral:rRNA from 1 species
AAUAGAUACCCAGGUAGUCCACGCCGUAAACGAUGAUAACUAGCUGUCCGGGGCUCAUGGAGCUUGGGUGGCGCAGCUAACGCAUUAAGUUAUCCGCCUGGGGAGUACGGUCGCAAGAUUAAAACUCAAAGGAAUUGACGGGGGCCUGCACAAGCGGUGGAGCAUGUGGUUUAAUUCGAAGCAACGCGCAGAACCUUACCAGCCUUUGACAUCCCGGUCGCGGUUACCAGAGAUGGUUUCCUUCAGUUCGGCUGGACCGGUGACAGGUGCUGCAUGGCUGUCGUCAGCUCGUGUCGUGGGAUGUUGGGUUAAGUCCCGCAACGAGCGCAACCCUCGUCCUUAGUUGCCAUCAUUUAGUUGGGCACUCUAAGGAAACCGCCGGUGAUAAGCCGGAGGAAGGUGGGGAUGACGUCAAGUCCUCAUGGCCCUUACAGGCUGGGCUACACACGUGCUACAAUGGCGGUGACAGUGGGCAGCGACCCCGCAAGGGUGAGCUAAUCUCCAAAAGCCGUCUCAGUUCGGAUUGUUCUCUG